UACAGAGGUCCCAAGCGUUGUUCGGAUUUACUGGGCGUAAAGGGUGCGUAGGUGGUCGGAAAAGUCCGAUGUGAAAUCUCCGAGCUUAACUCGGAAAUGGCAUUGGAUACUAUUCGGCUGGAGGGUUGGAGGGGAGACUGGAAUUCUCGGUGUAGCAGUGAAAUGCGUAGAUAUCGAGAGGAACACCAGUGGCGAAGGCGAGUCUCUGGACAACUCCUGACACUGAGGCACGAAAGCUAGGGGAGCAAACAGG
rnacentral:rRNA from 1 species